AUGGUAUUAGCUCAUAACCAAGUACUCCGCUCUAAAUCUCAUUUAUUUCUAACAAAUAAAGUGAUGUUUGUACGACCUUCCACAGAAAGCGAUCCUAAUAUUUCAGAUUGGCAAAAGUUAACAUACAAUUUAAACACUAUCGUCAACUAGUAAAGCUAGAGAAAAAGAUCAUUUUAUGUUGAGACAAAAAUAUAAAAACUGACAAUGAUACAAUAACGCUAUUAUUAAUUUAAAGGUAAAUUACAUUUUACACAUUUAAAUCCGUUAAAAAAUCUUUUAAAUUUACUGUUAAAUAAUAACGUGACACAUUUUGAUCUACAUUUGUGUGAUGAUAUAACUGCCAACUUUGCGCCAAGUGGAUAAAAACAAAUUAAAAAUUAAUUAAUUAAAAAAAAAGUAGGCCCACCAACCCAGCCAUCCUCACCCUACUCCAUCCAUCCAUCCUCACCCAAUUACCAACCUCAUAUGCCCUAGACCAAGCUAGGCUACCCAUACCACGCCCUACACCACCACCAACACCAUUACGGAGUGAUCGUAGGACCUUCUUCCACCACCACCCCACCACCCGUCCCCGCCCCGACCCGAAUUUGCUCUGAGCAGCCAUAGGAGGAAAACCCACCCAAAGCGAUCAAAUCAGCCGCGUACACCAGCAAGGACACCCGCCUAGAGAAAGUUAUAGGUGUCUGCGAGGGCCUAUUUGCAGACAUGGUUGAUAGGCUCAACGACUCACUGCCCUCCAUGGAUGUGAAUUAGGGCGAGAAGCUUCUCUCCGCGGCCAAAAUCAACGACGCUCUGGUGGAUCUCAAUACGACCCUCGUUCAAGAAUUCAAAGCGUUCACCGGAGGCUGCUCGGGGUCGGAGGAUCUGAGAUGGGUUUUUGGGGUUGGGUUAGUCCGAAGGAUAGGAGGCUGCUGCAGGACAACAAUGCGACGGCCUCCAGAUAGUGGUGGCUACUGGCGAAGAACAGGAUCAGAGAUGCGAACACGAUUCAGGAGGUGAUGGAGGCCAUGGAUGAUCGAAGAAGAGAAUGUAUUGAUGGAGAAGAUGAAGUGAUAUUUUGAUUUGGAAAGGGAUCCUUUUAAUCCACCAAGUUCGGGAUUCGUACUGUUUCAACAGUUAUAAUUAUUAUAAUUUUUAAAAGGGUUUCCUGUUUCAGUCGUUAGAUUAAAUUUCAACGAUUUAGAUCACAAACUUGAUGGAUUAGAUGGAACGGAAUUCAUUUUAGAUUUGUUUUGAUUUAAUAUUAU
rnacentral:sRNA from 1 species